rnacentral:rRNA from 1 species
UACGUAGGUCCCGAGCGUUGUCCGGAUUUAUUGGGCGUAAAGCGAGCGCAGGUGGUUUAUUAAGUCUGGUGUAAAAGGCAGUGGCUCAACCAUUGUAUGCAUUGGAAACUGGUAGACUUGAGUACUGGAGAGGCAGACGGAAUUCCUAGUGUAGCGGUGAAAUGCGUAGAUAUUAGGAGGAACACCAGUGGCGAAGGCGGUCUGCUGGACAGCAACUGACGCUGAGGCGCGAAAGCGUGGGGAGCAAACAGG